GUUGGGUUAAGUCCCAUAACGAGCGCAACCCUUACCCUUAUUUGCCAGCGAUUCGGUCGGGAACUAUAAGGGGACUGCCGGUGAUAAACCGGAGGAAGGUGGGGACGACGUCAAGUCAUCAUGGCCCUUACGUGUAGGGCUACACACGUGCUACAAUGGGGAAUACAGACGGACGCUAAAGCGCGAGCUGGUGCUAAUCCUAGAAAGUUCCUCGUAGUCCGGAUUGCAGUCUGCAACUCGACUGCAUGAAGCCGGAAUCGCUAGUAANNNNNNNNNUAGUAAUCGCGAAUCAGCAUGUCGCGGUGAAUACGUUCUCGGGUCUUGUACACACCGCCCGUCACACCAUGGAAGUGGAUUGCACCAGAAGUAGAUAGUCUAACCUUCGGGAGGGCGUUUACCACGGUGUGCUUCAUGACUGGGGUGAAGUCGUAACAAGGUAGCCGUAGGGGAACCUGUGGCUGGAUCACCUCCUUA
rnacentral:rRNA from 1 species